rnacentral:rRNA from 1 species
UACGUAGGGUGCAGGCGUUAAUCGGAAUUACUGGGCGUAAAGGGUUUGUAGGUGGCCCGCUAAGUCACACGUGAAAUCCCUCAGCUUAACUGGGGAACUGCGUGUGAGACUGGCAGGCUCGAGGGCAGGAGAGGAACGCGGAAUUCCAGGUGUAGCGGUGAAAUGCGUAGAUAUCUGGAGGAACACCGGUGGCGAAGGCGGCGUUCUGGACUGUCUCUGACACUGAGGCACGAAGGUCAGGGGAGCAAAGCGGG